GGAAUGUGCUACAAGGCGCUACCUUGCUCUGGAGCCAGACAAGAGGCCGGAGCAUCCGCCCCAACACGGCUGGCUGUGUGAGCCUCAGGAACACUGGCAGCUCUGCAAGACUCUCUGCCAUCUGCAAAAUAAGUAUGAAGAUAUGGUUUCCACACCAAUGUUAGGCUUUCUCAAGGAGCUUAGAGUGUGUCGGUGGAGAAGAAGAAGCCCAACAGGAGACCUUAUUCCACCUCUGCACGUCUUCAGGACUCCUGUGGAAACAUGUGAUCUGCAACAGUCUCUCUGGGGCUCUGCCCACCCCCAGCAGUGUUACCCCACAUCACUGCACAAUAAGAACUUUCUCAUCAUGAACAUAGCUUCCUCUGGAGAAGCUGGGAAGUGCUUAACUAUGCCAGAAGCUGGACAAUUCAGGUAGAAGUUUAAAUGUUGGUCUAACCUUCAAAGGACAGAAAUAGCUUUCUUUGAAAGUUCUCAAAGGUGUUUCAGAAAUCUGGAAAAUUUUAAAUCUUAAAAUAACA
rnacentral:lncRNA from 1 species